UGGUGGAGUGAUUUGUCUGGUUAAUUCCGUUAACGAACGAGACCUCGACCUGCUAAAUAGUUCGACGAAUUCUUCGGGAUUCGGGCGCGACUUCUUAGAGGGACUAUCGGUGCGUAGCCGGUGGAAGUUCGAGGCAAUAACA
rnacentral:rRNA from 1 species